AAACGUUACAGCUUCCCGAUAGGAUUUAUCUGUACGGAUAAAGAUGCCUUGUAACCGAUUCAUUAAGGGGGAAUAGAAAAAUG
rnacentral:sRNA from 2 species